rnacentral:rRNA from 1 species
UACGUAGGGGGCUAGCGUUGUCCGGAAUCAUUGGGCGUAAAGCGCGUGUAGGCGGCCCGGUAAGUCCGCUGUGAAAGUCGGGGGCUCAACCCUCGGAAGCCGGUGGAUACUGUCGGGCUCGAGUACGGAAGAGGCGAGUGGAAUUCCUGGUGUAGCGGUGAAAUGCGUAGAUAUCAGGAGGAACACCGAUUGCGAAGGCAGCUCGCUGGGACGUAACUGACGCUGAGACGCGAAAGCGUGGGGAGCAAACAGG